UAGGGAAUCUUCCACAAUGGACGCAAGUCUGAUGGAGCAACGCCGCGUGAGUGAAGAAGGCUUUCGGGUCGUAAAACUCUGUUAUUGAAGAAGAACGUGUGUGACAGUAACUGGUCAUGCAGUGACGGUAUUCAAUCAGAAAGUCACGGCUAACUACGUGCCAGCAGCCGCGGUAAUACGUAGGUGGCAAGCGUUGUCCGGAUUUAUUGGGCGUAAAGCGAGUGCAGGCGGUCUUUUAAGUCUGAUGUGAAAGCCUUCGGCUUAACCGAAGAAGGGCAUCGGAAACUGGGAGACUUGAGUGCAGAAGAGGAGAGUGGAACUCCAUGUGUAGCGGUGAAAUGCGUAGAUAUAUGGAAGAACACCAGUGGCGAAGGCGGACUCUCUGGAUC
rnacentral:rRNA from 1 species